UACGAAGGGGGCUAGCGUUGCUCGGAAUCACUGGGCGUAAAGGGUGCGUAGGCGGGUUUUUAAGUCAGAGGUGAAAUCCUGGAGCUCAACUCCAGAACUGCCUUUGAUACUGAAAGUCUUGAGUAUGGGAGAGGUGAGUGGAACUGCGAGUGUAGAGGUGAAAUUCGUAGAUAUUCGCAAGAACACCAGUGGAGAAGGCGGCUCACUGGCCCAUAACUGACGCUGAGGCACGAAAGCGUGGGGAGCAAACAGG
rnacentral:rRNA from 1 species